GAGAAAACAAAUCAAGUUUUUUUAGAGCAAGAAAAGAUAGUUAUGGUCGUGUUGUUGUUGGUGAAGAUUGGCAAAGUUGUAGCCAAUGGAAGAUUCUAAGAUUAUCAUCAAUCGUCCUAAAAAUAAUCUUGUUCAUUCUCUAGUCUUUCUUUUCGGUUUCUAUUGUUGGGAUUGGGAAUUUCUUACUGCCCUUUUGCUUUUCAGUUAUUGCUCCUUCUAAUUAAUUUCUUUUAAAUUUGUAAAAUUCUUAUAGGAUCUUGUCAAUUAAUAAGUAAAAUCCCCAAAAGGGGAAAUUUGGGUAGAUUUAGAGAAAGAGGGGGAUGUCGCAAAGAACAGCGCCGGCGCCGUUUCUGUUGAAGACGUAUCAGUUGGUGGAUGAUGCGACCACUGACGAUGUCAUAUCUUGGAAUGAAAUCGGCACAACCUUUGUGGUGUGGAAAACUGCUGAAUUUGCAAAGGAUUUGCUUCCCAAAUACUUCAAGCACAAUAAUUUCUCCAGCUUCGUUCGACAGCUUAACACCUAUGGUUUUCGAAAGAUUGUGCCUGACAAAUGGGAAUUCGCCAAUGAGAAUUUCAAAAGAGGACAGAAAGAGCUCCUCACAGCUAUACGCCGUCGGAAGACCGUGACAUCAAUCCCAGCUGGUGGAAAGUCUGUGGCAGCCGGGACUUCAGCAUCUCCGGACAAUUCUGGGGAUGACAUAGGUUCAAGUUCUACCUCGUCCCCAGACUCCAAGAACCCGGGAUCUGUGGACACUCCGGGAAAGUUGUCCCAGUUCACGGACUUGUCGGAUGAGAAUGAGAAGCUAAAGAAAGACAACCAGAUGCUGAGCUCAGAGCUGGUGCAGGCGAAGAAACAAUGCAAUGAGUUGGUUGCUUUCUUGAGCCAGUACGUGAAGGUUGCACCCGAUAUGAUCAACCGUAUCAUGAGCCAAGGAACCCCAUCGGGGUCCAGCCUUGAAGAGUUGGUCAAGGAGGUUGGUGGUGUUAAAGAUUUAGAAGAACAGGGUAGUUAUAAUGACAACGAUGAUAAAGAAGACGAUGACGAAAAGGGUGAUACUCUGAAACUAUUUGGUGUGUUUCUGAAAGAAAAGAAGAAGAAAAGGGGCCCGGAUGAUAAUAUUGAGACUUGUGGUGGACGUGGUAAAAUGAUGAAAACUGUGGACUAUAAUGGUCCUUGGAUGAAAAUGUCUUCGACGGCCGGAGAAAGCAGCAAGGUUUGUAACUGAGGUGAAGUUGGUGAAUUAUGUGUUGAGGUUGGAGCAGAGUAAAUUAGCUUCUCCCUUUUGAUUUAGUAAUUUCCUUUGGAUUUACAAGUUCGAUGUUUAUGAAUAAAAUAAAUAGAGAAUUUAAUUAGUAUGAGUAGUAAAAAGGGUUUAGAUUACUACUAAGAGUAGUACACCCAAAACCAACUAGAAAUUAUAUAUAUAGAGUACAUGCAGACUGCUAUUAAGUCAAAUGCAACUCAAGUUUGCUUUGUCUAGUCAGAAACUUAUAA
rnacentral:misc_RNA from 1 species